rnacentral:rRNA from 2 species
AUGCAUGUCUAAGUACAUACUUUUACACAGUGAAACCGCGAAUGGCUCAUUAAAUCAGUUAAGGUUCCUUAGAUCGUACUAUCCUACUUGGAUAACUGUGGUAAUUCUAGAGCUAAUACAUGAAAGCACGCUCCGACUGUUCCGGGAAGAGCGUUUUUAUUACACCAAAACCAAUCGGCCUUCGGGUCGUCCACUUGGUGACUCUGAAUAACUUUGUGCUGAUCGCAUGGCCUCGAGCCGGCGACGUAUCUUUCAAAUGUCUGCCCUAUCAACUUUCGAUGGUACGUGAUAUGCCUACCAUGGUUGUAACGGGUAACGGGGAAUCAGGGUUUGAUUCCGGAGAGGGAGCAUGAGAAACGGCUACCACA